rnacentral:lncRNA from 1 species
CGGCGCCGUUUCCGCUUCCGGCGAUGUGGGCCGGCCAGUGGGCGGGCUCUCCAUGUAGGCUCCGCCCCGACCCGCGGAGGGUCUGCUGCGCAGACACGUGGGGCAAAGGGGCGUGGCGGCAUUGCGGCUUUGGGGGUGUGGCCAGAGACGUCACCUACUUGACUGGAGUGGGCAGCGCGUCAUGACCGUCCCAACGCCUAAGCAGCUGAUGCUGCGACGCGGUGACACUCAAAGAAGGACAUGGUAAUUUCCAGAGUUCACGUGAACUGUUCUCAGACACUGCCUAGAUGACUCCACCCACUUCCUCCUGUGAAUCCUUCAGACCUCAGCUCCAUGCCAGGUCCUGAUCUGCUCUCCCCACUGCAAUCCUUUCCAGAGUCUAACUUGCUUCUGAUGAACUAAGGGAAUGAGUGGACUCCCCAACAGCCUGAGAGGCUCCCCUGCACCUGCAAGGACUGCAACAGAGAAAUGAGAGAAGAUAC